GUCCACGCCCUAAACGUUGUGCACUAGAUGUUGGGAGUUUCAACGCUCUCAGUGUCGCCGCUAACGCAUUAAGUGCACCGCCUGGGGAGUAUGCCCGCAAGGGUGAAACUCAAAGGAAUUGACGGGGGCCCGCACAAGCGGUGGAGCAUGUGGUUUAAUUCGAUGAUACGCGAAGAACCUUACCCGGGCUUGACAUCUUCUGGACAGGUGUAGAGAUACACCCUCCUUUAUGGCCGGAAGACA
rnacentral:rRNA from 1 species